AGUGAACGCUGGCGGUAGGCCUAACACAUGCAAGUCGAACGGCAGCACAGUAAGAGCUCGCCCUUACGGGUGGCGAGUGGCGGACGGGUGAGGAAUACAUCGGAAUCUACUUUUUCGUGGGGGACAACGUAGGGAAACUUACGCUAAUACCGCAUACGACCUACGGGUGAAAGCAGGGGAUCUUCGGACCUUGCGCGACUGAAUGAGCCGAUGUCGGAUUAGCUAGUUGGCGGGGUAAAGGCCCACCAAGGCGACGAUCCGUAGCUGGUCUGAGAGGAUGAUCAGCCACACUGGAACUGAGACACGGUCCAGACUCCUACGGGAGGCAGCAGUGGGGAAUAUUGGACAAUGGGCGCAAGCCUGAUCCAGCCAUACCGCGUGGGUGAAGAAGGCCUUCGGGUUGUAAAGCCCUUUUGUUGGGAAAGAAAAGCAGCAGGUUAAUACCCCGCUGUUCUGACGGUACCCAAAGAAUAAGCACCGGCUAACUUCGUG
rnacentral:rRNA from 1 species